AUCGCUUCUCUGCCUUUUGGCUAAGAUCAAGUGUAAUAUUUAGGUCUUAUUAUAUUUAAGGGAACCCAAAGACUGGGGAAAGAAAUAAUUUAACCAAUUCUUUCCCUCAUAUAGACCAAGACUCUAAAACAGCUAAGGGGAUUCCUAGGAAUUAUAGGCUUUUG
rnacentral:snRNA from 1 species